rnacentral:lncRNA from 1 species
GGCACAGGAGUCGCUCCUCAUAGCGAGUCUGGUGCGGCCUACGCGCGGCGCUUCCUUUCGGACCUGAGGCCCAGACCCUCAAAAUAGAGGGAGCGGGUAGGCUUCUGCUGAGAAGGGAAGAAGAGUCUUCCUGCUUGGACACUGGGCUUCUGAAAAGGCCAUGUGCUCUCCUAUCUCACAGCCUCACAGUCUUGUAUGUGUUUUGACUGUAACAAGAAUGAGCAUUGGAUGUGGUAGAAAAAAUUCUUGGAUUAGUGCCUCUCAUUAGUCCCUAAAAAUACAUAUGUAUCUGGCCCCAACUCCUGGUGACUCUCUAAGCUUAUGAUGCAUUUUUUGGUAUGUUUUGUAUAUAGUUUUGAGCUUCUGCAAUGAUUUUUAAAACAGGACAAAAUCCCAUAUGAACGAAUGAAAAGCCAAAUGUAAUACAUAGAAAAGUUGAUGAUAAAUUCUUUGGUACACAAUAGACAGACAAAACAUAAUCUAGGAAAUAUGCACCCUGAGAAAUUGCUAUCAUCAUCUUAAUACCUUAUAACAACAAAAGUUCUUAAACUGGUCCCCUUAAUACCAUUGUGUUUAUUUUCUGUAUGUUUAUACUUUUAUGCUUUGGUUUCAUUUUCUACUUAUUAGUUAAAUGGUUAUGAGAACUGUGGGGAUAAAUUUAAAACAUUACUGUGUUUCUAUAGAGAGUUCUGCUGUAAUGCAGUGAUUAUGAAAUGAUCUCAAAUCUCCUCAGAAUUUUUAAAAGGUACAGUUCAAUAAAUAUUUUUAUUUUUGUUAAUUCUUCCCCAAAUCACAUUAAAACGAUCCUUUUGCACUUAA